GCUCCACUCCGUCUGCCCAGUGUUCAGACUACCUGUUCAGGACUACGAGAUUGUACAGUAGUCUGCACAUUGGUUAGGCUGUGCUGGGA
rnacentral:pre_miRNA from 1 species